rnacentral:lncRNA from 1 species
GUACUGUGUUAUUCAAAAGAAAAAUUGUCCGCACAAGGUAUAGUACCUGUUUGGAAUGCAUAGAGUUAAUUCCCAUCAAAGAAUCCAAUCCAUGCUAAGUUUAGAUUUUAGAUCCAUGCUAAGUUGAUCAAGAAUUCAAGAUCAUUUUGGGUAUUUGGCUGCUUAGGGCAAACCCAGUCCAUUCUAAUGAAAUAUAAAUGAGUCAUAAAAGAACAUAUGAGUGCCAGCAAAUUAACAAAACAUCUCCAGAACAAAAAAGGAAAAUAAUAUUAGAAUAUGAUGAACUUUGUGCAAUCAUGAGUCACUAACUGGUCGCACAUUUUGUCAAACAGCACAUGGCACCACCACUCGUAAGAAGCCCUCUCCCUG